rnacentral:rRNA from 1 species
GAUGAACGCUGGCGGCGUGCCUAAUACAUGCAAGUCGAGCGAACAGACGAGGAGCUUACUCCUCUGACGUUAGCGGCGGACGGGUGAGUAACACGUGGAUAACCUACCUAUAAGACUGGGAUAACUUCGGGAAACCGGAGCUAAUACCGGAUAACAUGUUGAACCGCAUGGUUCAACAGUGAAAGACGGUCUUGCUGUCACUUAUAGAUGGAUCCGCGUCGCAUUAGCUAGUUGGUAAGGUAACGGCUUACCAAGGCAACGAUGCGUAGCCGACCUGAGAGGGUGAUCGGCCACACUGGAACUGAGACACGGUCAAGACUCCUACGGGAGGCAGCAGUAGGGAAUCUUCCGCAAUGGGCGAAAGCCUGACGGAGCAACGCCGCGGGAGUGAAGAAGGUCUUCGGAUCGUAAAACUCUGUUAUUAGGGAAGAACAAAUGUGUAAGUAAAUAUGCACGUCUUGACGGUACCUAAUCAGAAAGCCACGGCUAACUACGUG